GAUCCUGGCUCAGAACGAACGCUGGCGGCGCGUCUUAAGCAUGCAAGUCGGACGGCAAGGAAGGGGCUUGCUCCUUCCCUAGAGUGGCGGACUGGUGAGUAACACGCGGGUGAUGCACCUCCUGGACGGGGAUAGCCGGUAGAAAUACCGGGUAAUACCGGAUAAGGACGCUCCUGUAGAGGGGAGCGUGGAAAGGGGCUACGGCCCCGCCGGGAGAGCGGCCCGCGCACUAUUAGCUUGUUGGUGGGGUAACGGCCCACCAAGGCG
rnacentral:rRNA from 1 species